rnacentral:rRNA from 1 species
UACAGAGACUGCAAGCGUUAUUCGGAUUCACUGGGCGUAAAGGGUGCGCAGGCGGCCAAGUGUGUUAGGCGUGAAAGCCCGGGGCUUAACCCCGGAAUUGCACCUAAAACUACAUGGCUAGAGCAUUGGAGAGGGUAGCGGAAUUCACGGUGUAGCAGUGAAAUGCGUAGAUAUCGUGAGGAACACCAGAGGCGAAGGCGGCUACCUGGACAAUUGCUGACGCUCAGGCAACGAAAGCGUGGGGGAGCAAAAGGG